CUUCCAAGGCACAAGCCUGGCUCUCUGCUCUGCCACGCAGACAGACCAGUUUGGGUCAGCUGGAGUCACAGACAGAAGGGAUGUACUUCAGUGGUACAUGGAAGGUGUACAGUGGUACAAGGAAGGAAAAAUCACUGUGAUUCAGUCAUCUAAACCUACAUGCUUUAAUGGCAUUGUUAACCCCAGAGUCCUGUUAUGGGAUAGGAGCAACAGGCUGCCCCAGAUCUUCCUGGUAACAACAAAUUUCAGAAUUCACAAGCAAUUGUUGUGGCUGGACCAUGUCACAUCAAACUUUGCAGUGCAUAAAAGCAGCAUUGUAAAGCUGCAUAACUAUCAGGGCAACAAGUGAUCUCAGCAUCAGGACUGCAGAAACUGGUAACAAGAUGUUUGGAGAUCAUUUCCUUAUGAUGUUCAGAGUAACCACUGCAAGACUGAAAGAGCAGACAAUGUUUGGAAGGAAGGUUUUGCAGACUGCCACUUGUCUUGAAUGCCUUGGAAACGUGAUCCGCAGACGCUGACCUCUGACAGCUGCCAAUUAAAACACAAGGUCUAGAA